UGAUAUAUAUCACUUAUAUUAUUAUUUGAGUAAAGUGGUGGGAACUUUCUGCAGUUUUCGAUUAAUUUUCUCCAAGAAAUUGUAAGAAAUAGAAAAAAUAUUCGACAUAUAUAUGAGUAGCACGUCUGAAAUUUCACAUAUAUUCUUUCGAAGAUCUUAUUCGGAACACCUUUGGUUUCAUUCGCUUCGAUUAAAUAGGACAAAAUGGCAGCUUGCAGGGGCCAGCUGAAGGACACCUCUGGGUGCGGGAAUUUUUCGAUACAGUGAAGACCUGUUGGUGAGCUUCUGCUGUUGUUUUUAUCCAAGGGGUUUUUACUCAUCAGAUGCAUGAUUCAGAUCAAUACAGUGGUGUCUGCAUAAAAAAAGUUGAUGGGAGAAUGAUGUUUAUCAAAGGUUGAUGUAAACAAAGAAAAGAAAAUUCAACAGAUGAGGCUUUUUGACAAGAAGUGUUAUUUUGAAAUGAUUUUUAGCCAGCAAAUCAAGGUUAACAGCAUCUAGAGAAAUUUGCACAGCAACAUGGAGGAGAAAAACCAUCAAUCCUUGCAAAUCUUGCUGGACGGAAUUGAGAUUUUUUAGCACAAGCAACAAUUCAUGGAAAAAACUAUGAAAAAAGGCUCUAGGUGUAAU